AGCGAACGCUGGCGGCAGGCCUAACACAUGCAAGUCGAACGAACCUUUCGGGGUUAGUGGCGGACGGGUGAGUAACACGUGGGAACGUGCCUUUAGGUUCGGAAUAACUCAGGGAAACUUGUGCUAAUACCGAAUGUGCCCUUCGGGGGAAAGAUUUAUCGCCUUUAGAGCGGCCCGCGUCUGAUUAGCUAGUUGGUUGAGGUAAUGGCUCACCAAGGCGACGAUCAGUAGCUGGUCUGAGAGGAUGAUCAGCCACAUUGGGACUGAGACACGGCCCAAACUCCUACCGGAGGCAGCAAUGGGGAAUCUUGCGCAAUGGGCGAAAGGCUGACGCAGCCAUGGCGCGUGAAUGAUGAAGGUCUUAGGAUUGUAAAAUUCUUUCAACGGGGACGAUAAUGACGGUACCCGGAGAAGAAGCCCCGGCUAACUUCGUG
rnacentral:rRNA from 1 species